CCUACGGGAGGCAGCAGUAGGGAAUCUUCCGCAAUGGACGAAAGUCUGACGGAGCAACGCCGCGUGAACGAUGAAGGCCUUCGGGUCGUAAAGUUCUGUUGUCAGAGAAGAACAAGUACCGGAGUAACUGCCGGUACCUUGACGGUACCUGACCAGAAAGCCACGGCUAACUACGUGCCAGCAGCCGCGGUAAUACGUAGGUGGCAAGCGUUGUCCGGAAUUAUUGGGCGUAAAGCGCGCGCAGGCGGUUCCUUAAGUCUGAUGUGAAAGCCCCCGGCUCAACCGGGGAGGGUCAUUGGAAACUGGGGAACUUGAGUGCAGAAGAGGAGAGCGGAAUUCCACGUGUAGCGGUGAAAUGCGUAGAGAUGUGGAGGAACACCAGUGGCGAAGGCGGCUCUCUGGUCUGUAACUGACGCUGAGGCGCGAAAGCGUGGGGAGCGAACAGGAUUAGAUACCCUGGUAGUCCACGCCGUAUACGAUGAGUGCUAAGUGUUAGAGGGUUUCCGCCCUUUAGUGCUGCAGCAAACGCAUUAAGCACUCCGCCUGGGGAGUACGGCCGCAAGGCUGAAACUCAAAUGAAUUGACGGGG
rnacentral:rRNA from 1 species